UACAUGGGGUGCAAGCGUUGUCCGGAUUUAUUGGGUUUAAAGGGUGCGUAGGCGGCUUAUUAAGUCAGGGGUGAAAGACUGCAGCUCAACUGUAGCAGUGCCUUUGAUACUGAUGAGCUUGAGUACAGAUGAGGCUGGCGGAAUGGGUGGUGUAGCGGUGAAAUGCAUAGAUACCAUCCAGAACACCGAUUGCGAAGGCAGCCGGCUAAACUGUAACUGACGCUGAGGCACGAAAGCGUGGGGAUCGAACAGG
rnacentral:rRNA from 1 species